rnacentral:rRNA from 1 species
UACGGAGGUGGCAAGCGUUAUCCGGAAUUAUUGGGCGUAAAGCGCGCGUAGGCGGUCUUUUAAGUCUGAUGGGAAAGCCCACGGCUCACCCGUGGAAUGGCAUUGGCAACUGGGUCACUUGAGUGCAGAAGAGGGAAGUGGAAUUCCAUGUGUAGCGGUGAAAUGCGUAGAUAUAUGGAGGAACACCAGUGGCGAAGGCGACUUACUGGUCUGUGAUUGACGCUGAGGCUCGAAAGCGUGGGUAGCGAACAGG